GAUGAACGCUGGCGGCGUGCCUAAUACAUGCAAGUCGAACGCUUCACUUCGGUGAAGAGUGGCGCACGGGUGAGUAAUACAUAAGUAACCUGGCAUCUACAGGGGGAUAACUGAUGGAAACGUCAGCUAAGACCGCAUAGGUGUAGAGAUCGCAUGAACUCUAUAUGAAAAGUGCUACGGGACUGGUAGAUGAUGGACUUAUGGCGCAUUAGCUUGUUGGUAGGGUAACGGCCUACCAAGGCGACGAUGCGUAGCCGACCUGAGAGGGUGACCGGCCACACUGGGACUGAGACACGGCCCAGACUCCUACGGGAGGCAGCAGUAGGGAAUUUUCGGCAAUGGGGGGAACCCUGACCGAGCAACGCCGCGUGAAGGAAGAAGUAAUUCGUUAUGUAAACUUCUGUCAUAGAGGAAGAACGGUGGAUAUAGGGAAUGAUAUCCAAGUGACGGUACUCUAUAAGAAAGCCACGGCUAACUACGUG
rnacentral:rRNA from 1 species